rnacentral:rRNA from 1 species
AUUGAACGCUGGCGGCAGGCUUAACACAUGCAAGUCGAGCGGAGAUGAGGUGCUUGCACCUUAUCUUAGCGGCGGACGGGUGAGUAAUGCUUAGGAAUCUGCCUAUUAGUGGGGGACAACAUUCCGAAAGGAAGGCUAAUACCGCAUACGUCCUACGGGAGAAAGCAGGGGAUCUUCGGACCUUGCGCUAAUAGAUGAGCAUAAGUCGGAUUAGCUAGUUGGUGGGGUAAAGGCCUACCAAGGCGACGCUCUGUAGCGGGUCUGAGAGGAUGAUCCGCCACACUGGGACUGAGACACGGCCCAGACUCCUACGGGAGGCAGCAGUGGGGAAUAUUGGACAAUGGGGGGAACCCUGAUCCAGCCAUGCCGCGUGUGUGAAGAAGGCCUUAUGGUUGUAAAGCACUUUAAGCGAGGAGGAGGCUACUGAGACUAAUACUCUUGGAUAGUGGACGUUACUCGCAGAAUAAGCACCGGCUAACUCUGUGCCAGCCGCCGCGGUAACAC